GUAUUGAGGUUGCUGUCCCUCCCGCACAG
rnacentral:piRNA from 1 species